CCCUUAGAUGUUCUGGGCCGCACGCGCGCUACACUGAUGCAUUCAACGAGCCUAGCCUUGACCGAGAGGUCCGGGUAAUCUUUGAAACUGCAUCGUGAUGGGGCUAGAUUAUUGCAAUUAUUAAUCUUCAACGAGGAAUGCCUAGUAAGCGUGAUUCAUCAAAUCGCGUUGAUUACGUCCCUGCCCUUUGUACACACCGCCCGUCGCUCCUACCGAUUGAGUGUGUUGGUGAGGAGUUUGGAUUGGCCUCGGAAGGUGGUUCGCCACCGUCCGUAGCUGCGAAGUUCUCCAAACCGCCCCACUUAGAGGAAGGAGAAGUCGUAACA
rnacentral:rRNA from 1 species